GACGAACGCUGGCGGCGUGCUUAACACAUGCAAGUCGAGCGGUAAGGCCCUUUCGGGGGUACACGAGCGGCAAACGGGUGAGUAACACGUGGGUGACCUGCCCUCAGCUCUGGGAUAAGCCUGGGAAACCGGGUCCAAUACCGGAUAUGACUCCAUGACGCAUGUUGUGGGGUGGAAAGCCUUGUGCGGCUGAGGAUGGGCCCGCGGCCUAUCAGCUUGUUGGUGGGGUGAUGGCCUACCAAGGCGACGACGGGUAGCCGGCCUGAGAGGGCGACCGGCCACACUGGGACUGAGACACGGCCCAGACUCCUACGGGAGGCAGCAGUGGGGAAUCUUGCGCAAUGGGCGAAAGCCUGACGCAGCGACGCCGCGUGAGGGAUGACGGCCU
rnacentral:rRNA from 1 species